rnacentral:rRNA from 1 species
CCUACGGGGGGCAGCAGUCGAGAAUCAUUCACAAUGGGGGAAACCCUGAUGGUGCGACGCCGCGUGGGGGAAUGAAGGUCUUCGGAUUGUAAACCCCUGUCAUGUGGGAGCAAAUUAAAAAGAUAGUACCACAAGAGGAAGAGACGGCUAACUCUGUGCCAGCAGCCGCGGUAAUACAGAGGUCUCAAGCGUUGUUCGGAAUCACUGGGCGUAAAGGGUGCGUAGGCUGUUUCGUAAGUCGUGUGUGAAAGGCGCGGGCUCAACCCGCGGACGGCCCAUGAUACUGCGAGACUAGAGUAAUGGAGGGGGAACCGGAAUUCUCGGUGUAGCAGUGAAAUGCGUAGAUAUCGAGAGGAACACUCGUGGCGAAGGCGGGUUCCUGGACAUUAACUGACGCUGAGGCACGAAGGCCAGGGGAGCGAAAGGGAUUAGAUACCCGAGUAGUC